GGGUCAGUAGGUUGGUCGUGCCACCGGUACGUACUGGCCUCACUGAUUCCUCCUUCCUGAAGAACCGUAAUGCCAUUAAUUUGGUGUUGUGGGGAAACAGGACUGUUACUUUGAAAAAAUUAGAGUGUUUAAAGCAAGCUAACGCUUGAAUACAUUAGCAUGGAAUAAUGAAAUAGGACGAUCGAUCCUAUUUUGUUGGUUUCUAGGAUUGACGUA
rnacentral:rRNA from 1 species